rnacentral:snoRNA from 1 species
GUGAUACGAAAUUAUAUUCGCCUUCUAUUCACUGUGCCAUCUGUAAUAUCCGUAGAUGAUCAGAGGGGAAAAGAACGGCCAGACGGAAAAUCGCCAGCGUCCUCAUACUGUCCGAAUCGAUAAAGUUUACUCUACUGGGUUCGGUCGGUAACUGCGCAAGCGAGACAACU